GAUGAACGCUGGCGGCGUGCCUAAUACAUGCAAGUCGAGCGAACAGACGAGGAGCUUGCUCCUCUGACGUUAGCGGCGGACGGGUGAGUAACACGUGGAUAACCUACCUAUAAGACUGGGAUAACUUCGUGAAACCGGAGCUAAUACCGGAUAACAUGUUGAACCGCAUGGUUCAACAGUGAAAUACGGUUUUGCUGUCACUUAUAGAUGGAUCCGCGUCGCAUUAGCUAGUUGGUAAGGUAACGGCUUACCAAGGCAACGAUGCGUAGCCGACCUGAGAGGGUGAUCGGCCACACUGGAACUGAGACACGGUCCAGACUCCUACGGGAGGCAGCAGUAGGGAAUCUUCCGCAAUGGGCGAAAGCCUGACGGAGCAACGCCGCGUGAGUGAAGAAGGUCUUCGGAUCGUAAAACUCUGUUAUUAGGGAAGAAAAAAUGUGUAAGUAACUAUGCACGUCUUGACGGUACCUAAUCAGAAAGCAACGGCUAACUACGUG
rnacentral:rRNA from 1 species